UACGAAGGGUGCAAGCGUUACUCGGAAUUACUGGGCGUAAAGCGUGCGUAGGUGGUUUGUUAAGUCUGUUGUGAAAGCCCCGGGCUCAACCUGGGAAUGGCAAUGGAUACUGGCAAGCUAGAGUGCGGUAGAGGGUAGUGGAAUUCCCGGUGUAGCGGUGAAAUGCGCAGAUAUCAGGAGGAACACCGGUGGCGAAGGCGGGUCUCUGGGCCGAUAUUGACGCUGAGGAGCGAAAGCGUGGGGAGCAAACAGG
rnacentral:rRNA from 1 species